GAUGAACGCUGGCGGCGUGCCUAAUACAUGCAAGUCGAGCGAACAGACGAGGAGCUUGCUCCUCUGACGUUAGCGGCGGACGGGUGAGUAACACGUGGAUAACCUACCUAUAAGACUGGGAUAACUUCGGGAAACCGGAGCUAAUACCGGAUAAUAUAUUGAACCGCAUGGUUCAAUAGUGAAAGACGGUUUUGCUGUCACUUAUAGAUGGAUCCGUGCCGCAUUAGCUAGUUGGUAAGGUAACGGCUUACCAAGGCAACGAUACGUAGCCGACCUGAGAGGGUGAUCGGCCACACUGGAACUGAGACACGGUCCAGACUCCUACGGGAGGCAGCAGUAGGGAAUCUUCCGCAAUGGGCGAAAGCCUGACGGAGCAACGCCGCGUGAGUGAUGAAGGUCUUCGGAUCGUAAAACUCUGUUAUUAGGGAAGAACAAAUGUGUAAGUAACUAUGCACGUCUUGACGGUACCUAAUCAGAAAGCCACGGCUAACUACGUG
rnacentral:rRNA from 1 species